UCCGCUGACGACCGGCGCACGGGUGCGCAACGCGUAUGCAAUCUACCUCUUACUAAGGGAUAGCCCAGAGAAAUUUGGAUUAAUAUCUUAUGUGGUAUAUGACUGGCAUCAGUUAUAUAUUAAAGGUUACGGUAAGAGAUGAGCAUGCGUCCCAUUAGUUAGUUGGUGUGGUAACGGCACACCAAGACUUCGAUGGGUAGGGGUCCUGAGAGGGAGAUCCCCCACACUGGUACUGAGACACGGACCAGACUCCUACGGGAGGCAGCAGUGAGGAAUAUUGGACAAUGGACGGAAGUCUGAUCCAGCCAUGCCGCGUGUAGGAAGACUGCCCUAUGGGUUGUAAACUACUUUUAUACAGGAAGAAUAAGAUCUACGUGUAGAUUGAUGACGGUACUGUAAGAAUAAGGACCGGCUAACUCCGUGCCAGCAGCCGCGGUAAUACGGAGGGUCCGAGCGUUAUCCGGAAUUAUUGGGUUUAAAGGGUCCGUAGGCGGGCUGUUAAGUCAGAGGUGAAAUGCUGCGGCUCAACCGUAUGCACUGCCUUUGAUACUGGCGGUCUUGAGUUAUAGUGAAGUGGCUAGAAUAAGUAGUGUAGCGGU
rnacentral:rRNA from 1 species